CAGGAUGAACGCUAGCUACAGGCUUAACACAUGCAAGUCGAGGGGCAGCAUGGUCUUAGCUUGCUAAGGCUGAUGGCGACCGGCGCACGGGUGAGUAACGCGUAUCCAACCUACCCCAUAGUAGGGGAUAGCCCGUAGAAAUGCGGAUUAAUACCCUAUGUUUUCCGAGGAGGACAUCUGACUUGGAACAAAGAUUCAUCGCUAUGGGAUGGGGAUGCGUCCGAUUAGCUUGUGGCGGGGUGACGGCCCACCAAGGCGACGAUCGGUAGGGGUUCUGAGAGGAAGGUCCCCCACACUGGUACUGAGACACGGACCAGACUCCUACGGGAGGCAGCAGUGAGGAAUAUUGGUCAAUGGGCGAGAGCCUGAACCAGCCAAGUAGCGUGCAAGGAAGACGGCCCUACGGGUUGUAAACUGCUUUUAUCAGGGGAUAAAGUGUGGGACGUGUCCCUCAUUGCAGGUACCUGAUGAAUAAGGACCGGCUAAUUCCGUGCCAGCAGCUGC
rnacentral:rRNA from 1 species